CCGCAUGCGGAGAUGUCUGCUCCUCAUUCCUUUGGGAGCAGGAAUGCGUCCACAACAUGCCACAUUAACACAGGAGUUCUCAGGGCCGCCAGCCUUACAGUAGAGGUUGAGUGGUAGUAUAUUCCUCCUACAUAA